AUCCAGCUGACGAGUCCCAAAUAGGACGAACAGUGUGUCAAACUGGAU
rfam:Schistosoma curassoni strain Dakar, Senegal genome assembly, scaffold: SCTD_scaffold0000832